rnacentral:rRNA from 1 species
UUAAGCGACUAAGCGUACACGGUGGAUGCCCUGGCAGUCAGAGGCGAUGAAGGACGUGCUAAUCUGCGAUAAGCGUCGGUAAGGUGAUAUGAACCGUUAUAACCGGCGAUUUCCGAAUGGGGAAACCCAGUGUGUUUCGACACACUAUCAUUAACUGAAUCCAUAGGUUAAUGAGGCGAACCGGGGGAACUGAAACAUCUAAGUACCCCGAGGAAAAGAAAUCAACCGAGAUUCCCCCAGUAGCGGCGAGCGAACGGGGAGCAGCCCAGAGCCUGAAUCAGUAUGUGUGUUAGUGGAAGCGUCUGGAAAGGCGCGCGAUACAGGGUGACAGCCCCGUACACAAAAAUGCACAUGCUGUGAGCUCGAUGAGUAGGGCGGGACACGUGGUAUCCUGUCUGAAUAUGGGGGGACCAUCCUCCAAGGCUAAAUACUCCUGACUGACCGAUAGUGAACCAGUACCGUGAGGGAAAGGCGAAAAGAACCCCGGCGAGGGGAGUGAAAAAGAACCUGAAACCGUGUACGUACAAGCAGUGGGAGCACGCUUAGGCGUGUGACUGCGUACCUUUUGUAUAAUGGGUCAGCGACUUAUAUUCUGUAGCAAGGUUAACCGAAUAGGGGAGCCGAAGGGAAACCGAGUCUUAACUGGGCGUUAAGUUGCAGGGUAUAGACCCGAAACCCGGUGAUCUAGCCAUGGGCAGGUUGAAGGUUGGGUAACACUAACUGGAGGACCGAACCGACUAAUGUUGAAAAAUUAGCGGAUGACUUGUGGCUGGGGGUGAAAGGCCAAUCAAACCGGGAGAUAGCUGGUUCUCCCCGAAAGCUAUUUAGGUAGCGCCUCGUGAAUUCAUCUCCGGGGGUAGAGCACUGUUUCGGCAAGGGGGUCAUCCCGACUUACCAACCCGAUGCAAACUGCGAAUACCGGAGAAUGUUAUCACGGGAGACACACGGCGGGUGCUAACGUCCGUCGUGAAGAGGGAAACAACCCAGACCGCCAGCUAAGGUCCCAAAGUCAUGGUUAAGUGGGAAACGAUGUGGGAAGGCCCAGACAGCCAGGAUGUUGGCUUAGAAGCAGCCAUCAUUUAAAGAAAGCGUAAUAGCUCACUGGUCGAGUCGGCCUGCGCGGAAGAUGUAACGGGGCUAAACCAUGCACCGAAGCUGCGGCAGCGACACUAUGUGUUGUUGGGUAGGGGAGCGUUCUGUAAGCCUGUGAAGGUGUGCUGUGAGGCAUGCUGGAGGUAUCAGAAGUGCGAAUGCUGACAUAAGUAACGAUAAAGCGGGUGAAAAGCCCGCUCGCCGGAAGACCAAGGGUUCCUGUCCAACGUUAAUCGGGGCAGGGUGAGUCGACCCCUAAGGCGAGGCCGAAAGGCGUAGUCGAUGGGAAACAGGUUAAUAUUCCUGUACUUGGUGUUACUGCGAAGGGGGGACGGAGAAGGCUAUGUUGGCCGGGCGACGGUUGUCCCGGUUUAAGCGUGUAGGCUGGUUUUCCAGGCAAAUCCGGAAAAUCAAGGCUGAGGCGUGAUGACGAGGCACUACGGUGCUGAAGCAACAAAUGCCCUGCUUCCAGGAAAAGCCUCUAAGCAUCAGGUAACAUCAAAUCGUACCCCAAACCGACACAGGUGGUCAGGUAGAGAAUACCAAGGCGCUUGAGAGAACUCGGGUGAAGGAACUAGGCAAAAUGGUGCCGUAACUUCGGGAGAAGGCACGCUGAUAUGUAGGUGAGGUCCCUCGCGGAUGGAGCUGAAAUCAGUCGAAGAUACCAGCUGGCUGCAACUGUUUAUUAAAAACACAGCACUGUGCAAACACGAAAGUGGACGUAUACGGUGUGACGCCUGCCCGGUGCCGGAAGGUUAAUUGAUGGGGUUAGCGCAAGCGAAGCUCUUGAUCGAAGCCCCGGUAAACGGCGGCCGUAACUAUAACGGUCCUAAGGUAGCGAAAUUCCUUGUCGGGUAAGUUCCGACCUGCACGAAUGGCGUAAUGAUGGCCAGGCUGUCUCCACCCGAGACUCAGUGAAAUUGAACUCGCUGUGAAGAUGCAGUGUACCCGCGGCAAGACGGAAAGACCCCGUGAACCUUUACUAUAGCUUGACACUGAACAUUGAGCCUUGAUGUGUAGGAUAGGUGGGAGGCUUAGAAGUGUGGACGCCAGUCUGCAUGGAGCCGACCUUGAAAUACCACCCUUUAAUGUUUGAUGUUCUAACGUUGACCCGUAAUCCGGGUUGCGGACAGUGUCUGGUGGGUAGUUUGACUGGGGCGGUCUCCUCCUAAAGAGUAACGGAGGAGCACGAAGGUUGGCUAAUCCUGGUCGGACAUCAGGAGGUUAGUGCAAUGGCAUAAGCUAGCUUGACUGCGAGCGUGACGGCGCGAGCAGGUGCGAAAGCAGGUCAUAGUGAUCCGGUGGUUCUGAAUGGAAGGGCCAUCGCUCAACGGAUAAAAGGUACUCCGGGGAUAACAGGCUGAUACCGCCCAAGAGUUCAUAUCGACGGCGGUGUUUGGCACCUCGAUGUCGGCUCAUCACAUCCUGGGGCUGAAGUAGGUCCCAAGGGUAUGGCUGUUCGCCAUUUAAAGUGGUACGCGAGCUGGGUUUAGAACGUCGUGAGACAGUUCGGUCCCUAUCUGCCGUGGGCGCUGGAGAACUGAGGGGGGCUGCUCCUAGUACGAGAGGACCGGAGUGGACGCAUCACUGGUGUUCGGGUUGUCAUGCCAAUGGCACUGCCCGGUAGCUAAAUGCGGAAGAGAUAAGUGCUGAAAGCAUCUAAGCACGAAACUUGCCCCGAGAUGAGUUCUCCCUGACUCCUUGAGAGUCCUGAAGGAACGUUGAAGACGACGACGUUGAUAGGCCGGGUGUGUAAGCGCAGCGAUGCGUUGAGCUAACCGGUACUAAUGAACCGUGAGGCUUAACCUU